AGUAACGGCGAGCGAACGGGGAAGAGCUCAUAGNNGANNNNUCCGCAAGGUAUUAGAAAUGUGGCGUAUGGGAGGNGACACUCUCCGAGUUCUGUUUGAGGUGCAAGUCCCCAUGAGAGGGGCAUGCAAACCGUAGCGGGUGCUAGUCCCGUAACGCCUCGAAGAGUUCUCGGAGUCGUCGUUCUCCCGGGAGUCGGGUUGCUUGGGAGUGCAGCCCAAAGCGGGUGGUAAACUCCACCUAAAGCUAAAUAAGACCGAGAGACCGAUAGCAAACAAGUACCAUGAGGGAAAGUUGAAAAGCACUUUGAAGAGAGAGUUCAAGAGUACGUGAAACCGUUCAGAGGUAAACGGGUGGGACCUCGAAGCCCGAAAGGCGGUGGCGGAUUCAGUGGGAUGAACUGGCUAGAACCAAAAGGUAGAGGCAUCGGACCGGUGUUUCCCUAAUGGCUGACGUGGACAGAUCUCCUGCGCACUUCCGCUCCCCGCCCGUAGGAUGUCGCAACGGGUUGGAAGGCUGUCGUAAGGGCUUGCCGAAAGAUAGCUGCCUUUCCACUCGUGGAUCGGCGGUGUUACAGGCGGCUUGAUCCCCGAGGAGCCGUUCGACCCGUAGGCUUUUACGUUCCUUCCCCGACGGGUACGGCCCCCGUAUUCGGCGCGAGGUGCCUGCGGUGACACCGCGACGGUGAACCGGAGACCACUUUUCGCCUUUAUGCGGUGAGAGCUGUACGGAACUUAGAUGCUGGCGGCAAGUAGGUCGGUAACCCACCCGACCCGUCUUGAAACACGGACCAAGGAGUCCAAUGCGCGUGCGAGUUCCCGGGACUUGAUUAGGCCCGCGGGCGCAAUGAAAGUGAACGUAGUUGGGAUCCCUUCCUUUUAAGGGGGGGCGCACCAACGGCCCGCCUGUUACCGGUUACGGUAGGGCGGAGCUCGAGCACACGCCUUGGGACCCGAAAGAUGGUGAACUAUGCCUGGGCAGGAUGAAGCCAGAGGAAACUCUGGUGGAGGUCCGCAGCGAUUCUGACGUGCAAAUCGAUCGUCUGACCUUGGUAUA
rnacentral:rRNA from 1 species